ACGUUGCAGCGAGACGCGGACGUCGCUCUUCCAAGAUGGCGGCGCGUCCGUCGCAAGCGACCGGGCCGGGGGGAAGCCAGCGAAGCCGAGUAAAGCCGCCGCCCGGGAGAGGACUGAAUGAGCAGUUGCCGCCGUUGGCGGCGGCCCGAGCAGUUUUCGCUGCUGCUACGGCUGUUGCCAUGAGGCGAGGCUAGGGAGGACCUCACUUCCCCGGGGUGUAAUAAUGCUAACUGAGACCAGUCUAUCCAUAUGGGGAUGGGGAAGCCUUGGCAUUGUCCUUUUUCUGAUAACCUUUGGACCCUUUGUAAUAUUUUAUUUGACAUUUUAUAUCCUCUGCUUUGUGGGUGGGGGUUUAGUGGUUACUCUCCUGUUUGGAAAAACAAACUCAGAGAAGUACCUAGAACAGUGUGAACACUCAUUUCUUCCUCCAUCAUCAACUGGGGUUCCUAAGUGCUUAGAAGAAAUGAAACGGGAAGCCAGGACUAUUAAGAUUGAUAGAAGAUUGACGGGUGCCAAUAUAAUUGAUGAACCUCUCCAGCAAGUUAUCCAGUUUUCCUUGAGAGAUUAUGUCCAGUAUUGGUAUUAUACACUAAGCGAUGAUGAAUCUUUUCUUCUUGAAAUUAGGCAGACUCUUCAAAAUGCGCUCAUUCAGUUUGCUACUAGGUCAAAAGAAAUAGACUGGCAACCUUAUUUUACUACACGCAUUGUAGAUGAUUUUGGCACACACUUACGAGUAUUCAGAAAGGCUCAACAGAAAAUAACAGAGAAAGAUGAUCAAGUAAAAGGUACAGCAGAAGAUCUUGUAGAUACCUUCUUUGAAGUUGAAGUUGAAAUGGAGAAGGACGUUUGCCGUGAUCUAGUGUGCACUUCCCCCAAAGAUGAAGAAGGAUUCCUAAGGGAUUUGUGUGAGGUCUUAUUAUAUUUAUUGCUACCUCCUGGAGAUUUCCAGAACAAGAUCAUGCGAUACUUUGUCAGGGAAAUCCUUGCACGAGGAAUUCUUCUUCCAUUAAUAAAUCAACUCAGUGAUCCUGAUUAUAUUAAUCAGUAUGUCAUAUGGAUGAUCCGGGAUUCUAACUGCAACUAUGAGGCCUUUAUGAACAUUAUUAAAUUGAGUGACAAUAUUGGAGAGCUAGAAGCAGUCAGAGAUAAGGCAGCAGAAGAAUUACAGUAUCUUAGAUCUCUAGAUACAGCUGGUGAUGAUAUCAACACUAUCAAAAAUCAAAUAAAUAGCUUACUAUUCGUAAAGAAGGUUUGUGACUCAAGAAUACAGCGAUUGCAGUCAGGCAAAGAAAUAAAUACUGUGAAACUUGCAGCAAACUUUGGGAAACUUUGCACAGUCCCCCUGGACAGCAUUCUUGUAGACAAUGUUGCACUACAAUUUUUUAUGGAUUACAUGCAGCAAACUGGAGGUCAAGCACAUCUAUUCUUUUGGAUGACAGUGGAAGGAUACCGGGUUACCGCCCAACAGCAGCUAGAAGUUUUAUUAAGUCGUCAGAGAGAUGGAAAACAUCAAACCAACCAAACCAAAGGUCUUUUAAGAGCAGCUGCUGUUGGAAUUUAUGAACAGUAUUUAUCAGAAAAGGCAUCUCCAAGAGUUACUGUUGAUGACUAUUUAGUAGCAAAAUUAGCAGAUACUUUGAAUCAUGAAGAUCCAACCCCUGAAAUCUUUGAUGACAUUCAAAGGAAGGUAUAUGAAUUGAUGCUACGAGAUGAAAGAUUUUAUCCUUCCUUCAGACAGAAUGCACUUUAUGUGCGCAUGUUAGCUGAGCUUGACAUGUUAAAAGAUCCUAGUUUCAGAGGAUCCGAUGAUGGGGAUGGAGAAUCUUUUAAUGGGUCUCCUACAGGAAGCAUAAAUUUGUCUUUAGAUGACCUUUCAAAUGUGUCUUCUGAUGACUCAGUACAACUUCAUGCCUACAUUUCAGACACUGUAUAUGCUGACUAUGACCCAUAUGCUGUGGCAGGCGUUUGUAAUGAUCAUGGCAAGACAUACGCAUUAUAUGCCAUCACUGUACACCGGCGCAACCUAAACAGUGAGGAGAUGUGGAAAACCUAUCGUCGUUAUAGUGACUUCCAUGACUUCCACAUGAGAAUCACUGAACAGUUUGAAAGUCUAUCAAGCAUAUUGAAGCUUCCUGGAAAAAAGACUUUUAAUAAUAUGGAUAGAGAUUUUUUAGAAAAGAGAAAAAAGGAUCUAAAUGCUUAUUUGCAGUUACUGUUAGCUCCUGAAAUGAUGAAGGCAUCCCCAGCUUUAGCUCACUAUGUGUAUGAUUUCCUUGAGAACAAAGCCUAUAGUAAAGGAAAAGGAGAUUUUGCUCGCAAGAUGGACACUUUUGUAAAUCCGCUUCGCAAUUCUAUGAGGAAUGUUUCAAAUGCAGUUAAAUCCCUUCCUGAUAGUUUGGCAGAGGGAAUGACUAAAAUGUCAGACAACAUGGGCAAAAUGUCAGAAAGAUUAGGUCAAGACAUAAAGCAAUCAUUUUUUAAGGUGCCUCCUUUAAUUCCUAAGACUGAUUCAGACCCUGAACAUCGCCGAGUUUCGGCUCAACUUGACGAUAAUGUGGAUGACAAUAUUCCACUUAGAGUAAUGCUGCUUCUCAUGGAUGAAGUAUUCGACUUAAAAGAAAGAAAUCAGUGGUUGCGAAGGAAUAUCAAAAACCUACUUCAACAGCUUAUUAGAGCUACAUAUGGUGAUACUAUUAAUAGAAAAAUAGUUGACCAUGUUGAUUGGAUGACUUCACCUGAACAAGUAGCCGACUCAGUGAAACGUUUCAGGUAUAUCUUAAGACACAGUCACUUCUUUCAGAGAUGCAUUUUGGCCAAAUGGCAUUUUAGCAGAGACUAUUCCAUGCAGAGAUAAAAGUAUUCGAAUGAGAACAAGAGUAGCAGGAAAAACGAAAUUACUUGCAAUUAUGCCAGAUGAACUGAAGCACAUUAUUGGGGCUGAGACAACACGGAAAGGUAUUCUUCGUGUUUUUGAAAUGUUUCAGCAUAACCAAUUAAAUAGGAGAAUGGUUUAUGUCUUCUUGGAAGGCUUUUUAGAAACCUUAUUUCCACAGUAUAAAUUCCGUGAACUUUUCAACAAACUGCAUUCACGGUCAAAGCAGAUGCAGAAAUAUAAACAGAAACUUCAAACUACGCAAGCGCCUUCUUUACAGAAAAGGUGACACUCCACUCUAUGAAGCUGGUAUUCAUUUUGUCCAGGACUAAUGGUAUGGACAGAUCUUCUGGGGCUUAACUCAAAUACUGUUGUGUCUGCACCAGUCUUUUAGUGUCUCAAAAUAGAUUAUUAAUACAUCCAUAAGUCUGGUUCUUCUCAUUCUCAUCUAUAAUCCACCAUUAACAAGAGAGAUUUCUGUGUCUUAAAUGAUUUGGUGCAUAUUUUGCAACAUUGAGAGAAAACUGCCCCCAUCUCAAGCAAGAAUGGCGUUGGUUUCUUCCAUUUCGAACUAAUCAGCAUUCUCCAGCAAUGACAAAAUGCCAGUGUAUAUAUGAAAGCUAAGGAAAGCACAAAACAAUGGUUCAGAGAUAAAUUGGCUAAUUUGUUUAACAGUUGGAGACUGUGCAGUGUACGAUUUGGAGGAAUUUGUUUGGCAUAAUGAUUUUGUAGGUCUGUGUCAGCAUUUUGAUAUAUUGUGAAUUAGCCAGGUGAAUGAUCCUUGAAACAUCUCUUUCAGGUCUGGGGAAAGAGACAGAAUGCCCUUAAAGUGUGAAAUAACCUUAUACCUGAAUUACAGUUUUGUGAUAUAAAAUAAAGCUGAGUAUAAAAUAAAACCAAUCAAACACAGAAUUUGAUUGGAUUUGUUAUUCAUUGGUAUACAACAAUAUUUAUUCUUCUGUGUGCUUUAAGGGCUGUGUUAUGCUCUUAUGGUACUCAGUUUUGUGUUUCCUUUUGGCAUUCUUUGUGCAAAAAAGAAGCAUGUGGUGGCUCUCAUUUAAAUUUCAAAAUUAUUAGUUUCAUCUUUAACAGAUUACUGAUUAUACAGAAGAUAUAAUUUAUUGGAAGAACUGCCAAAUACAUUUUGUCCUUCUAAAAAUAUGGAAAUUUAAAUAGUAGUCUGGAAAGUUACCAUAUGAUAAUUUUUAAUUAUGUGAUCUAGACAUGCCUAGACAUGCCUUAGGUAACUGCAGAAAUAGCAAAUUAAAUGAUUAUUAGUCAUAGUAAACAUACAAAUUCCUAAUUCUAUGACAGUGUACAUAAAUGAAAAAAGAACUAUAAUAUUUUUUAAAAUAUGCUUUUAUUUAUAUUUCACAUAAUGUAAAAUUCUACAAAAUAAAGCUAGUAGGCAAAACCCCUCAGUGUAUACCUUUAAACCCAUAAAUUAAUUUUAUACCAAUAAAAUAAAAUACUUUCUCUAGUUUUGGAGCUUCUGUAUUUCCUAUAGUUUUCUCACUGUCCAUUUUAUCCAUCUUAGAAGUCUUCAUAUCCCUUCUAUGCAGGAUUUCUGCGUAGUUUUAAAUAUUUUCAUUGUCUAAGGGUUUCGGUGUGUCAGCUUUUUUUGUUUUAAAAAUAAUUAACACUAAAACCUUAAAUAGUGAAGCUACUUAUCAGACCACUGAGCCAAGAUCCUGGUAUUAAAAGAAAGUCUGGGUGCUUAAGAUAAAGGGACAGAGUAUUGGUAUCCCAGUUACUUGCGAGCUUUAAGAUUGGAACAAGAUAUCACUGUCUUGUUUUCCCUUAGAUCCUACUUUCAAAGUGAGGCCUAUUAACAGAAUAAAGCCUUUCUUUAAAGCUUUAUAAUAAUCAUAUUUAUUAAUAAUGCUGUUGUGUAUACUUAUAGUAUGCAUAUAUUCAGCAUAUGUUGCAUGUCUUCAGAAUUACAUAAAAUGAAAUCCCUUUCAUUGCAACUUGCAAGUAAGAAAAGAUCCUUAGUGGCUCUGGUGGAAGAAAUAGUAUUUCUUCUCAGGGUGUCUCCCUGCCUUGGCCCCUCCCUGAGCCCUAGGCUUUGAAAGUGAAGAUGUGUGAAACAUGUCUGUAGGAAGCAUCAGGAUGGCCAUAAGUGCAAUGAUUUUCAUAUAUGCCCCUGCCCAUUUCAAGUAUAUUUUUGACAUGAAUAAAUCUAAGAGUAUAUGGAAUGAUUCAUGUAAGAGCCUAGCGUGUACAUGUGAAAAAGCAUUUCUAUAUGAUGUGAGGAGCACUGGCCAUCAACCAGGGAAAGAAAGGUCAUGUAAUACUGUAAAUUUUCAAAAUAGAGCCCUGCAAGAUAACUGCAGUCAUACCAAAAACUAUUUGAGUAAAUGGAUUUUUAAAGUAAUUUUUGUUUAAAAGAGUUUAUAUUUCAGAAGCAGAAAAUGUCAAAUGAUAGUCUUUGUAAAUGGUGGUGCAUCUUCUCUAUGCACAUCUGUCUUUUACAUCAGAAAGAGCUGUGGUCGUGCUAAAAUUAGAGAUAACUUUUUGAAUGACUUGGUCAAGCUGUGUGUAAAAUAUUUAACCAUAAGUCAAGUACAGUGUACUAUGUUUAAUAAAGUUACUACAUUUAAUGCAUUUAUUGCAUAUGUGAAUAUAUACAUGAAGAGGCUUUAUGUCUUAUUUGAUUUUGAAUGUUUUUUAAGUCAGUGGUGCCUUUAGGCAAGAACUUUCAAAAUUAAUCAUUCUUUGUGUUUUCUGAUUUUUCAGGUAACAUGUAAACUAGGAACCAUCAUAGUUUAUUCACCUUAAAAAAUUGAUUGUAUUAUUUAAAUACAUCACUUAGAUGGGCAUUUCCUAUAAUUAGGAUAUUCCAAAUAGUUGCUGAAAUCAAUUGUGCCAUUGACCAAUGGAUGCACUUGGUUAGCCUUAAUUUUUUUUAAAAGAAAACAUUAAAAACUUUCUUGAAUAUUUCAGUUUGUUCAUUUUGAGUUUGUGCUGCUGAUAUUUGGGAAAAAAAAUCAAACAGUUAAGUGCUACCAGAAAGUGUACCAAUUUUUAUAAAAAUUAAUAAUAUAAAUUUCACAAUCUAAAAUUUUAAUUUUGUGCAAUAUUUUCAUUUAAUGCAUGUGUAUUUGAGUAAUUGUAAGAUAAAUGAAUUUUUAAUUUUUUGAGAUGUAGCUUAAACUGUCUUCUUAAUCCAACAACUUACAUUCCGUUGUUGCUGCAUCCUUUUAUUUAAGGACUUGUUUUAAAAGUCUUUUUGUCACUCCUUGGAAAAUUCUUUUAUUAGUAGUAAAUUUUGCUUAUAGGAGCAUGGCUCCUGUAUUACAAGGGGAAAAAUAUAAAGAGCACAUUUUAGGAUUAUACUUGUUAAAAGAUAAUGUGUGCAUAUCAUUGUACAGUAAGUGUCAACUGUGUGCCUAACUGUUCUAUCAGUACUUUCCUUCUUUAACAAAGAAACAACAAUCAGAAUGUCAGUUAUUUUUAUUCAACUAAAAGGAUUAAAAAAUUUAUUUGGUUUGCGUUCUGUCCAUUAGAAAAUACUAAUAAAGUAUUAACAAACAUUUUUGUUGAGUUCAUUUAGUAGUAAUGUAUUUUUGUUACUUCUAAGAUGCUUGCUCAGUAGUCUUAUUUUUAGGUCUGUUUGUAUUUUCUUUUCUUUUAGAUAUCAACCAAUUCAAGUUCCAGGUUGGCCGAUGAGUGCUUGAGUGAUUACUGACUUAAAUGGACUGAAUUUAGCUUUUUCUUUUAUGGGGCAAAUAAUUUACACCACAGUGUUAAAGAAACUUUAUACUUCCUUGUCAUAUAAAAUUAUAAGAUAUUUUUCCCACAGUUGAAAAGAUUCAUAAUUAGUAAUCCAUUUUAUUUGAUCUCAUUUUAAAUUCAUAUUUUGACUAAUAUUUUAGACUUUUUCCUUUCUAAAAGUAGAUUGGUCAAAAUAUUUGCAUCCUCCUUGGAGCUGUUUCAGUAGACUUCUAAGGCAUCAGAUGUGAUAACUUCUAGCCCAUCAGGGAUUGGCAUAAUAUUUCUUAAAAUGCAUGUGGUAAAAUAUUGUUCCCUAUAAGAUGUUCCUGAGGGGAAAGUUUUAUACUUUUAUGUAACUUAUACAGGACUAUCUGUAUAUGAACCAAAAAGCAAAAAUAUUCCUUCAUAAUUCAAAUGAUUAUAUCAAAAAUUCUGAGACUUUCUAUAAGAAACCUGUUUAACUUUGCUUACCUAAUUUCCUAAACUUAACCUCAGAAUCUUUUUGUCAUGAGCAGCUUGAGGAUGAUGUUCUCACGGAAUGUAGUUUGGAAAAUCUUUAGUAGGAGAGAAAAAAAGUUGAAGUGUCUUUAGUUAGGGAAUGUAAACUGGACAGAAAACCCAGUGGAUUUGGAUCACAAAGAUUUUUUUCUUGCCUGCCAUUUUAAUGGAAAGUUCAAUCUUUGGAAGAAAAGGGAAAGAUGGAAAAAGGGUGAAGAUGGAAAGUUAACAUCUGAUUAUAUAGCAGAUAUUAAAGAGUAGAAUUUGGCUCUGAAUACCAGAAUAAUGACUUCAGUGAGGAAUAAUAGAGAACAUCUCAUGAGAAGCGGGAAAGAUACUUCCACAGAUUUUGCUCAUGUGACCAGAAGAAUAGUAACUUGAAAAUGUAAGAGGAAGAAGGAAAUGCCAUACAGUUUAGUUUAUAAAAUAUUUGUGCCAGACAUUGACCCAUAUAUAUAAUGACAGGUAAUAUGUUUGACUUAGGAAAACUUGCAGUAGCUGAGUGAAAAUGAAACUUAACCCAUGGGUUUACCAAUGCAGUGUGUGAGAUGUGUGUUGAAGAUGAUAUUUUAAAUUGGUAAACAUGAUCUUUUACAUAUCAUCAAGAGUGAAAUGAAACAAUGAAACUAUGUAUUAGGAGUUUUCCCCUUGGUAUUUGACUAGGAGGACUUACAAAACUCAGCAUAUAGUCAUACAGCUAAGAUUUAUUAUGGCAGAAGGAUAUAGAACAAGAGCAAAAAAAAGUGCAUGGAUGAAGUCUGGGGGAACAAGGCUCCAGCUGCCAACUGUUCUCUCCCAGUAGAGUCACAUAAGAUGCAACUUAACUCCCACAGCAAGGAGUUGUGACAACACCUGUAAAGUGUUGCCAACCAGGAAAGCUCAUUCGAGACUUGGUGCCUGGGGUUUUCAUUGAGGGCAGUUUAUUUAGGCACUCUCUGCCUGGCACAUAACGGAAUUCCCUUAUGGAAUUUCUUUCUCAGAAAAUUGUGGUCAACAUAUGCCAUAUUUUUGGUACAGUUUAGGGUUACUGAGCCACUUUUAUCAGUUUUGGGAAUUGAUGGGAACACUCCUAAAAUCUUAAGUUCUCAAACACCUGCAGCCUUCUUUGCAAGUAAACUCCCUUCCUAAAUGCUGUUGUCUGAGUUUUCCUUUGACAGGUGGAUGUUCCUCUGGGAUGCCCAGGUGACUUACCUCCUGAGCCAGCUUUGCCUCAUUGGCUGUUUACAUCCAAGCUCACCUUGCCUCCGGGGAUGGACGUCAUUCAACAGUUAGAGCCUUUACACUUGCUGACUGUUUUCUACUUUCCCCUUCUCAUGGCUCUUUUUCUGGGUCUUGGUCAAGUCUUGUUCUGAGUUUGAUUAGUGCAUAGCUACUUUAUUUCUCAAUUGGUGGAAGCAGUGUUAGGGAGCUGACUUUUGUGGUCUGACCUAAUUUUCUGCCAAGCAGCUAUUUAUCUUUCUUGAUUGUCUUCAUGUCUUCAAGACUCUUGAUAUCAACUGGCAUCUCGGUCAGGCCAAUAUCUUGUCUCUCCUGUAUGAUUACGUUGUUCAUGUUGCAGCCUAGAUCAGUUUCUUCUGCCAGUGGCAGAAUCCUUCAUGUUCCUUGUCUUAUUUAUUUUAUUAUUAUUUUUCAAUGUGUGGGUGCUCUCUUGUUUUACUGUAUUUGGGGUGAGGUUAUUUUAGGGCAUGGUCCAGGGUAAACUGUAAGGCCUGGGUGCCCUGCUGCGAGGUCAAGGGGCAAUAGGACUAAGACUGCAGAGUCCUGGCUUCCCCACUACCUACCAAUUGCCGGCCCUGUGUGGGGGUCUCUUCUGCUUUAUCUGGCCUGAAAGAGACUGAGAUGUUUCUGGUCCCGGGUCUCCUGGGAGUUGGUUCCCAGUAUUUCCAGGGAUAGAGCAUGCUGUGGGCACUGGUGGAAAGCUUUGGUGUCUCCUCCCAGACUCUAUCUGUGCCUCUUUAUCUGUUUCUUCAGCUUCUGGACCUUGAGCACCAGGGCUUCAGCCCUGACUCCCUCCUGCCCUUCCAGCAGGGCCUGAUUCAGCUCCAGCUGCUGCUCCAGCAACUCCUCAGCUUGGUCCAGCUCAACUGUGCGGUGGGCUUAGGGUCCUGUUGAGGGGGAGUUGGGGAGCAUCAGCCAGGGCAGGGGUCUUAGACCCUUGGAACCUGUGUUGCAGGGUCUGGCUGUAAGGAAGGAAUUCGACCUCCCUUUCUCUUUUUCUAGCCCAUUAGGUUAAGGUCCCCUGUACUGAGAAGCCCAGAGAACUCCCUUUCUUGGGCAUGUUCCUUGUCUUAUUUAUACAGUAGUAUGAGAUUUAAAAGUAUUCAAGAAAAUAGUUUUCAUGCUUGCUGGAAAGCAAGCUAUCUUCCAGCUAUGCUUUGUGUCUCUGAUCUCCCUCCUCCAAUAAGUUGGUGAGUUUCAUUGUUUAUUUUUGAUUAAGAGGGAUGAAGUUAUAAAAUUUAGGCUGCUAGUUCUGUGUGUGUGUAAAUAAAAGACUUCUUGUAAAGUGUGUGUGUGUAAAUAAAAAAAAGACUUCUCCUUGUAAAAGCUUUUUACAGAUGUUUAUACUUGUAACAUUUCUUGUAUUUGCAGCUGGCAUUUACCCACUUUAUGGUCUCUCAACUUCUGGAAAUUAUGGAUAUUAAUUAGACAUAAAAAUUUAUCAUUUCUAUGCACUACUGGUGAUAUCUAAUUUAAAAAUACAGAUUAACCAUCAAAUAUGAGGGAGUGAUGGAGGGAUUUAAGUAAAAAAAUUGAAAUUAGUUUUACAUAGUUGUAAAGACUUCAGAUUUAAGAAUUUUCCUCUAAAAAUAUUAAUGACUAUGUAAGUGUAAUGGAAUGAGACAGCAGACUGAAUGGGAAAAUUACUUCUGGCUUUUCUGAAGAUUCGUGACCUCCUAAGCAACCUAGAGGGUGUUGAGUAGCUUGCAGUUUUCUUUAUCCUUUCUUUAAAAAAGAAAAAAUGUCCCAUAAAAUAAAAUGAAUCAAACACAAAUCAGAUGGUCUGAGAAAGUUUUGUGUUUAAAAACGAAACAUAUACACAUAAAUACUAAAAUGGAAAGAAAUUUGGCACUAAACUUCUCCAGGUACACUAGUUUGCCCAAAUGUUAGAUAAAAGUAUUUUAUCAUGAGUUAUACAAUAUUUUCUAAAUAUGUUUGUUGAUAAACUUGCAUGCCUUUGCUUCUCUCCAGAGAUAAGUACUAAAUUAGAUUUUAAUGUCUUAAAUUUAAUGGAGCUCUGUGUCCCCUCCAAAUCUCAUGUUGCCCCAGUGUUGGAGGUGGGGCAUGGUGGAAGAUGUUUGGAUCAUGGAGGUGUAUCCUUCAUGAAUGGCAUGAUGAUGAAUAAGUUCAUGUGAGACCUGGUUGUUUAAAAGGUGUGUGGUGCCUCCCCCUCCUCUCUCUUGCUCCUGCUUGACAAUCCUGCUCCUGCUUCACCUUCUGCCGUGAGUAAAAGUCCCCUGAGACCUCCCCAGAAGCUGAGCAGAUGCUGGCUUGAAUAGCCCGCAGAUCCAUGAGCCAAUUAAACCUUUUGUCUAUAUAAAUUACUCUGUCUCAGAUACUCAUUUGUAGCAAUGCGAGAACAGCUUAACACAAGCUCCUGUUUCGAUUGGCAUAAACGGACAAAGUAAAACUUGUGUAAGAACCGAAUAAUUUUCAGAGAGAAAGUAAAAAAAAAAAAAAAAGUAAAGUUUACUGGUUUUUUAAGGAAUUUCAAAUAGUUGAGGUGGGUAGAAGAAGUUAGUGAUGAUUUAAUGGCCUUGAUUGCUAGAUUACAAGAAACAAAUGUAUGCAUAUGUUAUCAAAUAACAGGAAACAACCUAAGACUAUCAGUAUUUUUAACUAAGAGGUCUUUAAUCCCAUUAAGAAGUGGGCAAAGGAUCUAAAUAGACAUUUUUCAAAAGAAAGCAUACAAAUCAACAGGUGUAUGAAAAAGUGCUUAUUAUCACUAAUCAGGGAAAUGCAAAUCAAAACCAUGAUAUGUCAUCUUACCUUAGUUAGAAUGACCGUUAUUGAAAAGACAGAAAAUAACAAGAUUCUGGGAAGAAUACAUAGAAAAGUGAACUCUCAUACACUGUUGAUGGAAAUGUAAAUUAAUAUAACCAUUAUGGAAAAACAGUGUGGAAAUUUCUCAAAAAAACUAAUAAAACUAACAUAUGAUCCAGCAGUUCCACUACUGGGUACUUAUUCAAAGGAAAGGAAAUCAAUAUAUCCAAGGGAUGCAUGUACUGCCAUGUUUAUACAACACUUUUUACAAUAGCAAAGAUAAGGAAUCAGCCUAAGUGUCCACCAAUGGAUAAAUGGAUAAAGAAAAUGUAGUAUAUUUACACAAUGAAAUACUAUUUGGCCAUAAGAAAGAAUGAAAUCACGUAAUUUGGAGCAACAUGGAUGGAGCUGGAGGUCAUGAAGUGAAAUAAACCAGCCACAGAAAGCUGUUAUAUGCCCCCCAACUCAUAUGUGGGAGCUAAAAAAGUAGAUUUCAUGGAGGUAAAAAGUAGAAUGAUUGUUAUAAAAGGCUAGGAAGAAUGUCAGUGGGGAGGGUGUUGGGGGGAGACAAUGAAGAAAGGUUGGUUAAUGGGCAAAAACAUACAUUUAGAAUGAAUAAGUUAUAAUUUGUAGUAGAGUAGGGUAACUAUACUUAACAACAAUGUAUUGUACAUUUCACAAUAGGUAGAUGUAAGGACUUGAAAUGUUCUCAGCACAUAGAAAUGAUAAAUACUUGUGGUGUUGGAUGUCCAAAUACCGACCUGAUAUUACAGAAUCUAUGCAUGUAAAGUAUCACGUAUGUUCCAUAAAUAUGUACAAGUAUGUAUCAACAAAAAUUACUCAGCUCUAAAAAACGUGAGGUUUUUAUUAUUUGUUAUGUAAAUGGUGGGAAAACAUCAGGUAAUAAUACUAAACAAAGUGAAUACUUGGACAAUUUAGACAAGUUAAUAAUUUUUAUGUAAGUCAACUGUAUGUCUUUGCCUUGAUGUGAAAAGAUAAUAUUACUCUGAAGUUUGUAAUUUAUGUAAAAUUUUGAUAUGUUUUUCUAUGGAAAGCGUAAUUUGAAUGCCAUAAAUUUUAUGCACUGAUUUAAUAGAUCAGGUAAGAUUUUUGUUUCCACAAAACAUUUAAGAUCAUAAAGAUAUAAAAAAAAAGUGUUUAACUAAAUUAGUAGUUUUCAACUGGGGGUAAUUUCACCAGUCAUGGAACAUUUGAUAAUGUUUGGAGACAUUUUUGAUGGUCACAACUGGGACGUUGCAACUGGUGACUUUGUGGAUGGAGGCCAGAGAUGAGGCUAAAUAUCCUAUAGCUCCCCACGGUAAAGAACUAUAUGGUCCAAAAUGUCAAGAGCACUAAGGCUGUGAAACACUGAACUAAAUUACGGCUUUAUAAAAAAGCAUUUGUUUCUCUGAUGCUACAGAUCAUAAGAUGAUGCUGUAUUGGUAGUUAUUCCAUUUACAGUGUCUGUGUAAAAAAUGGUCAUAUGCUUGAAUUCAUCUAUGUUAUUGCUUGUAUCAAUAGUUUCUUUUAUUGUUAAUAUUUCAUUGUAUGGAUCUACCACAAUUUUAUCCAUUUGCCAGUUUAAGGACAGUUGGAUUAUUUCAAGAUUUGGGUGAUUAUUAAUAAAGCUUCUAUAAACAUUGUUGCAUAA